rnacentral:tRNA from 1 species
GCGGGUGUAGUUCAAUGGUAGAAUUCCAGCCUUCCAAGCUGGCUGUGUGAGUUCGAUUCUCAUCACCCGCUCCA